rnacentral:rRNA from 1 species
UACGGAGGGUGCAAGCGUUAUCCGGAUUCACUGGGUUUAAAGGGUGCGUAGGCGGUCGGGUAAGUCUGAUGUGAAAUCUCACAGCUUAACUGUGAAACUGCAUUGGAUACUAUCCGGCUCGAGGAAUGGAGGGGAGACUGGAAUACUUGGUGUAGCAGUGAAAUGCGUAGAUAUCAAGUGGAACACCAGUGGCGAAGGCGAGUCUCUGGACAUUUCCUGACGCUGAGGAGCGAAAGCGUGGGGAGCGAACAGG